UACGUAGGUGGCAAGCGUUGUCCGGAUUUACUGGGCGUAAAGGAUGCGUAGGCGGACAUUUAAGUCAGAUGUGAAAUACCCGAGCUUAACUUGGGUGCUGCAUUUGAAACUGGGUGUCUAGAGUGCAGGAGAGGUAAGUGGAAUUCCUAGUGUAGCGGUGAAAUUCGUAGAUAUUGGGAAGAACACCGGUGGCGAAGGCGGCUCACUGGCUCGUAACUGACGCUCAUGCACGACAGCGUGGGGAUCAAACAGG
rnacentral:rRNA from 1 species